GACGAACGCUGGCGGCGUGCUUAACACAUGCAAGUCGAACGGAAAGGCCCUGCUUUUGUGGGGUGCUCGAGAGGCGAACGGGUGAGUAACACGUGAGUAACCUGCCCUUGACUUUGGGAUAACUUCAGGAAACUGGGGCUAAUACCGGAUAGGAGCUCCUGAUGCAUGGUGGGGGUUGGAAAGUUUCGGCGGUUGGGGAUGGACUCGCGGCUUAUCAGCUUGUUGGUGGGGUAGUGGCUUACCAAGGCUUUGACGGGUAGCCGGCCUGAGAGGGUGACCGGCCACAUUGGGACUGAGAUACGGCCCAGACUCCUACGGGAGGCAGCAGUGGGGAAUAUUGCACAAUGGGCGGAAGCCUGAUGCAGCAACGCCGCGUGCGGUAUGACGGCCUUCGGGUUGUAAACCGCUUUCGCCUGUGACGAAGCGUGAGUGACGGUAAUGGGUAAAGAAGCACCGGCUAACUACGUG
rnacentral:rRNA from 1 species